CCUACGGGUGGCAGCAGUGAGGAAUAUUGGUCAAUGGACGCAAGUCUGAACCAGCCAUGCCGCGUGCAGGAAGACGGCUCUAUGAGUUGUAAACUGCUUUUGUACGAGGGUAAACGCAGAUACGCGUAUCUGUCUGCAAGUAUCGUACGAAUAAGGAUCGGCUAACUCCGUGCCAGCAGCCGCGGUAAUACGGAGGAUUCAAGCGUUAUCCGGAUUUAUUGGGUUUAAAGGGUGCGUAGGCGGUCGGAUAAGUUAGAGGUGAAAUCCCGAGGCUCAACUUCGGAAUUGCCUCUGAUACUGUUCGGCUAGAGAGUAGUUGCGGUAGGCGGAAUGUAUGGUGUAGCGGUGAAAUGCUUAGAGAUCAUACAGAACACCGAUUGCGAAGGCAGCUUACCAAGCUACGUCUGACGUUGAGGCACGAAAGCGUGGGGAGCAAACAGGAGUAGAUACCCCAGUAGUC
rnacentral:rRNA from 1 species